GAUGAACGCUGGCGGCGUGCCUAAUACAUGCAAGUCGAGCGAACAGACGAGGAGCUUGCUCCUCUGACGUUAGCGGCGGACGGGUGAGUAACACGUGGAUAACCUACCUAUAAGACUGGGAUAACUUCGGGAAACCGGGGCUAAUACCGGAUAAUAUAUUGAACCGCAUGGUUCAAUAGUGAAAGACGGUCUUGCUGUCACUUAUAGAUGGAUCCGCGCCGCAUUAGCUAGUUGGUAAGGUAACGGCUUACCAAGGCAACGAUGCGUAGCCGACCUGAGAGGGUGAUCGGCCACACUGGAACUGAGACACGGUCCAGACUCCUACGGGAGGCAGCAGUAGGGAAUCUUCCGCAAUGGGCGAAAGCCUGACGGAGCAACGCCGCGUGAGUGAUGAAGGUCUUCGGAUCGUAAAACUCUGUUAUUAGGGAAGAACAAAUGUGUAAGUAACUAUGCACGUCUUGACGGUACCUAAUCAGAAAGCCACGGCUAACUACGUG
rnacentral:rRNA from 1 species